UAUAUAUAUCUUAAUGAAAUUUAUAACUAUCAUUUCCCGCCUCCAGCAAUCUCUCCAACUUUGGUACACAAGUCCUUGCGUUUGGAUUUAGCACCUGCUUGGUUACAGCAUAAUGGAAAGCAUUCUUUUCUCCUGAAGCAAUUGUGUGGUCACCCGUUAGUGGCAGUGUUUCAGCAACAUUAGCAAGAAACCAUGGUUUGCAUGCAGAUACUUGGGGCAAGUACAUCUUGAACGUGGAGCAUAUGGUCUUCAACUUCUAACCAGGAUCACUAACCCCCAUCCAAUUCCAAGGCCCUCUGAUGUGAAGGAGCUGGAACAACAAUAGCUGCACUUAGACUCACUGAAACUUGCUGAUCUGAGAAUUCACUCCUCAUCGAACGGAAAAUUUCAGACUGAGAGGCAAUGGAAAAGUCAGAAUUUUCUUUUCGUGCCCUUGAACUCACUGAGUUCCUAUUCACUUUAGCAGUUCCAUCCAUAGCACCAGCACCUGGAUUAGAUGAGUUUUUAAUGUGUACAAUAAUGAUUGUAAUAUCAUCUGUCCGGAUUUCAUGAUCCAGCCAACGUUUAUAAGACUCUCCCGCAAUGGCUGCACAUGCAUCUCGGGGAUCGGUAUAUCUUGCCACCAUAUCAACAACAGCUUGGCUUGAGAGGAACUGAAAAACUCCAUCACUUGCAACCACAAAGAACAAAUGAUUGGGCCUGAGCUGAACAAUGGAAACCUCUGGAUCAACAAUAACACCAAUCGUCUCAGCUGCCCUAUCCCCUACACUUCUCGUAAAUGCAGUCCCUGGAUACAUCCCAUUCUGCACCCACAACCUUGGAGGAUCACCCUCAUCGUCCCAUGUCUGUAUAUCAGGAUCCUUGUACCCUUUCACUUGAUCAACACUCAGAACUCUAGCCCCACAUAACUUGACCCUCUCAUACUCAUCUCUCCUGAACGGGGUUUGAUCAUUAGACAAAUCCUCAGCCAUAAUUCUAUUCCCAUUUUUAACAGCAAUGACUGCUCUCGAAUCACCCACAUUGGCAACAUAAAUCUUAUCUCCAAUAACAAGAACCGUUAUUGCAGUGGUACCACUCUCCGUAUCAUCAAUUUUACUACUAUGUAACUCAGAUUUCGUCCUUAAAAAUGCAGAACUAUAAGCUUUAACAGGGUCAAUUAACAACGUGGGAUCAUUUGCUAAUAUCUCAACCAAUCUAUCCUUAACGAAAUUUGAACAUUCAGCACCAUAUUGACCAUGCCCAUCAAAUACACCAAAGAAAUGGAUAUUAGGGUUCCCUUGAAUUUGAGUUCUAAUGCAGAAACUGUCUUCGUUUUCCCUGUCUGGCGAGCCUGGAUAAUAACCUGGCUGAGUCAGAACAGAGUACUGCAAUUUUAAGUUAUGGGAAGGGACAGGAAUAAUCUCCAGCGGUCUCUGAGUGAGUACGUGUUUAUUACCAACAUGACCCGCUUCAGGGCGGCCCCUUGAAUCACCAUCUACUGAUGACGGGUAGCAGCCACACUUGCCGUGGACACAACCCAUGUUUCUGAUAGGCAAUUGAGUGGUAAAAGAGAAAAUUUUCGAACUUCAGACUUGCUGUUUGCGAAAUGUCCCAAAAGAAACACGAAACUAUUUGCGUUUGGGUCUUAAAAUAGCAGAGAUGAAGUUAUUUAUAGAAGUAGUCAACUAGGCAUCUUCUGAUUUCGAAAAUGAAGCUCCUAGGAAAGUAAUUUUGCGGAGAAUUUAUGUGAGAGAAGAGGAAUGGGGAAAGAACGAACUAGCAAACCCACCCUAGAAGCAAAAUAACCCCAAAACUCAGUUUUUAAGGAGAAAUUUUUCUUAAAAAAUAAUGAUGAUCCCCAUCUGGGUUACACCCAAGAAAACGUUUUCCACAAUAAUCAUUCAAAGAUUAGAAUGUCCGGCACAGCAGAAACGAAUUUACCUCAAUAAAGUUUUUUUUCUUUUUUUUUUUUCAACAAAAGGCUAUAAAAGAAGGAAAAGUCGAGUGGCAUUUUAGUGUCAUAGUGUGGCAUCUAUUCUCAUGAGGUUUCCAAAGAACAUGAAAUGCAAGUGUUUAGGGUACCAGAUCAAGGCUCAAGAGCAAGAAAGGAAGUACCAAUGUUAAAGACUGAAGAAAAUGAAAAACUCAAGAAAGUAAAGAAUAUGAAAAUGAAAGGGUUUGAUGCUGACGCGAAUAAAGGGAUUUCUUUCGACGGAGAGAAUACAGAGAGAUUCGAUGUGCGCAUGGGUGGAUUUUGUUUGCACAGAGACAAUAACUCGUCUUCGAAGAAAACAACACAACAAAAGCCAAGUAAGAGAGAUGCCACGAUGAAACGAAUGCGAAGAAACUACCAAGAUUAUGCAUUAAUCUGUCUAAGAUGUUGGCUUUCUUCUUUUGCUUGUGCCAGGGGACCAGACCAGAUACCAGUCGAUCUAUUCUCUUUUCU
rnacentral:misc_RNA from 1 species